rnacentral:rRNA from 1 species
AUUGAACGCUGGCGGCAGGCCUAACACAUGCAAGUCGAGCGGUAGAGAGGUGCUUGCACCUCUUGAGAGCGGCGGACGGGUGAGUAAUGCCUAGGAAUCUGCCUGGUAGUGGGGGAUAACGCUCGGAAACGGACGCUAAUACCGCAUACGUCCUACGGGAGAAAGCAGGGGACCUUCGGCCUUGCGCUAUCAGAUGAGCCUAGGUCGGAUUAGCUAGUUGGUGAGGUAAUGGCUCACCAAGGCGACGAUCCGUAACUGGUCUGAGAGGAUGAUCAGUCACACUGGAACUGAGACACGGUCCAGACUCCUACGGGAGGCAGCAGUGGGGAAUAUUGGACAAUGGGCGAAAGCCUGAUCCAGCUAUGCCGCGUGUAUGAAGAAGGUCUUCGGAUUGUAAAGCACUUUAAGUUGGGAGGAAGGGUCGUUACCUAAUACGUGACGAUUUUGACGUUACCGACAGAAUAAGCACCGGCUAACUCUGUGCCAGCAGCCGCGGUAAUAC